UGGCGGACGGGUGAGUAACGCGUGGAUAACCUGCCGUAUACUGGGGGAUAACACUUAGAAAUAGGUGCUAAUACCGCAUAAGCGCACAGUCUCGCAUGAGACGGUGUGAAAAACUCCGGUGGUAUACGAUGGAUCCGCGUCUGAUUAGCUUGUUGGCGGGGUAACAGCCCACCAAGGCGACGAUCAGUAGCCGGCCUGAGAGGGUGAACGGCCACAUUGGGACUGAGACACGGCCCAAACUCUACGGAAGGCAGCAG
rnacentral:rRNA from 1 species